UCUUUAGGAAAUCAGGAAAGGAGUGAAGG
rnacentral:piRNA from 1 species